rnacentral:rRNA from 1 species
AUCUUCCGCAAUGGGCGAAAGCCUGACGGAGCAACGCCGCGUGAGUGAUGAAGGGUUUCGGCUCGUUAAACUCUGUUAUCAGGGAAGAACAAAUGUGUAAGUAACUGUGCACAUCUUGACGGUACCUAAUCAGAAAGCCACGGCUAACUACGCGCCAGCAGCCGCGGUAAUACGUAGGUGGCAAGUGUUAUCCGAAAUUCUUGGGCGUAAAGCGCGAGUAGGCGGUUUCUUAAGUCUGAUGUGAAAGCCUACGGCUCAACCGUGGAGGGUCAUUGGAAACUGGGAAACUUGAGUGCAGAAGAGGAAAGUGGAAUUCCAUGUGUAGCGGUGAAAUGCGCAGAGAUAUGGAGGAACACCAGUGGCGAAGGCGACUUUCUGGUCUGUAACUGACGCUGAUGUGCGAAAGCGUGGGGAUCAAACA